CCCUCUUCUCGUCUCACUGUGUUCCCUGCCGGAUCGACUCACCUCUGCUGCGCCCAACUGCACGCAAGGCUUCAGUAUUAGUGUGAUACCAGUGGAGACUCAGACUGCAGUAACAUGCAAAAAUCAAAACUUCAAAAGAAGGAGGAAAUCGAACUGAUGUGUUUCUUGGCGAGGUACAUGAACAUUUUUCCAACAGAAGUGACGUGUCUCACAGGAGCUUUCAGUAUAUGUUACAGCGUAAUCUGUAUCAAACUGAACAUACAGUUUCCCCUGUUACAAACAACUUCUUAAACAGAACUCAAGGCUCAGCUCUUCAGAACAUGCUAGGCACCUUCUUCUGUCUCAUGGGAUCUGAUUCUACCUUACAGGCAUCACAGACCUCCAGGAAAAUCUGUGCCCUUCCAAGACACCAUCUAACCACAAAGGUACUGAUCAGGUACUGACCACUAUGCCCCACAGCUUGUGCUACCUUGAGACUUAGAAGCGCAAAGGAAAGCAGCGCAUCUUUCACCUUGUGCAUGGCCUUAAGACUAACCCUGGUACUGCAUUCUUAUGUAACUUUAGACAGUAUCCUUUAUACACAAAUGUAGUUGUAAAGUCUUGAUCCUCCAUGCACAGACACACACCUUAGUUUUGGCAUUUCUUAAUUCUGAGUUCCUGAUGUACAAAAGAUCUGGCAUUAUAUACAGACUGUUUAUUUUUC